GUGGGGAAUAUUGGACAAUGGGCGAAAGCCUGAUCCAGCCAUGCCGCGUGUGUGAAGAAGGUCUUCGGAUUGUAAAGCACUUUAAGUUGGGAGGAAGGGCAGUAAGUUAAUACCUUGCUGUUUUGACGUUACCGACAGAAUAAGCACCGGCUAACUUCGUGCCAGCAGCCGCGGUAAUAAGAAGGGUGCAAGCGUUAAUCGGAAUUACUGGGCGUAAAGCGCGCGUAGGUGGUUUUGUAAGUUGGAGGUGAAAUCCCCGGGCUCAAACUGGGAACUGCCUACAAAACUGCAUGACUAGAGUACGGUAGAGGGUAGUGGAAUUUCCUGUGUAGCGGUGAAAUGCGUAGAUAUAGGAAGGAACACCAGUGGCGAAGGCGACUACCUGGACUGAUACUGACACUGAGGUGCGAAAGCGUGGGGAGCAAACAGGAUUAGAAACCCUAGUAGUCC
rnacentral:rRNA from 1 species